GACGAACGCUGGCGGCGUGCCUAAUACAUGCAAGUAGAACGCUGAAGGAGGAGCUUGCUUCUCUGGAUGAGUUGCGAACGGGUGAGUAACGCGUAGGUAACCUGCCUGGUAGCGGGGGAUAACUAUUGGAAACGAUAGCUAAUACCGCAUAAUAGCAGUUGUUGCAUGACAACUGUUUGAAAGGUGCAAUUGCACCACUACCAGAUGGACCUGCGUUGUAUUAGCUAGUUGGUGGGGUAACGGCUCACCAAGGCGACGAUACAUAGCCGACCGGAGAGGGUGAUCGGCCACCCUGGGACUGAGACACGGCCCAGACUCCUACGGGAGGCAGCAGUAGGGAAUCUUCGGCCAUGGACGGAAGUCUGACCGAGCAACGCCGCGUGAGUGAAGAAGGUUUUCGGAUCGUAAAGCUCUGUUGUAAGAGAAGAACGAGUGUGAGAGUGGAAAGUUCACACUGUGACGGUAUCUUACCAGAAAGGGACGGCUAACUACGUG
rnacentral:rRNA from 1 species